rnacentral:rRNA from 1 species
CUACGUGCCAGCAGCCGCGGUAAUACGUAGGUGGCAAGCGUUGUCCGGAAUUAUUGGGCGUAAAGCGCGCGCAGGCGGAUUGGUCAGUCUGUCUUAAAAGUUCGGGGCUUAACCCCGUGAUGGGAUGGAAACUGCCAAUCUAGAGUAUCGGAGAGGAAAGUGGAAUUCCUAGUGUAGCGGUGAAAUGCGUAGAUAUUAGGAAGAACACCAGUGGCGAAGGCGACUUUCUGGACGAAAACUGACGCUGAGGCGCGAAAGCCAGGGGAGCAAACGGGAUUAGAUACCCCGGUAGUCCUGGCCGUAAACGAUGGGUACUAGGUGUAGGAGGUAUCGACCCCUUCUGUGCCGGAGUUAACGCAAUAAGUACCCCGCCUGGGGAGUACGACCGCAAGGUUGAAACUCAAAGGAAUUGACGGGGGCCCGCACAAGCGGUGGAGUAUGUGGUUUAAUUCGACGCAACGCGAAGAACCUUACCAGGUCUUGACAUUGAUGGACAGAACUAGAGAUAG